rnacentral:rRNA from 1 species
UAAGAACGGCCAUGCACCACCACCCACAGAAUCAAGAAAGAGCUAUCAAUCUGUCAAUCCUUACUAUGUCUGGACCUGGUGAGUUUCCCCGUGUUGAGUCAAAUUAAGCCGCAAGCUCCACUCCUGGUGGUGCCCUUCCGUCAAUUCCUUUAAGUUUCAGUCUUGCGACCAUACUCCCCCUGGAACUCAAAGACUUUGAUUUCUCAAAAAAUGCCGAAGGAAUCAACAGGCAACCACCUCCCAUUUCUUGGUAGCAUAGUUUAUGGUUAAGACUAGGACGGUAUCUAAUCGUCUUCGAUCCCCUAACUUUCGUUCUUGAUUAAAGAAUACAUCCUUGGCAAAUGCAUUCGCAUUAGUUUGUCUUUAACAAAUCCAAGAAUUUCACCUCUGACAGUUAAAUACAAAUGCCCCCAACCAUCCC